rnacentral:rRNA from 1 species
GACGAACCGUACGAACGUUAUUCGGAAUUACUGGGCUUAAAGGGUGCGUAGGCUGCGCAGCAAGUUGGGUGUGAAAUCCCACGGCUCAACCGUGGAACGGCUGGGUAUACUGCCUGUCUUGAGCCAACUAGGGGCGAGCGGAACAGACGGUGGAGCGGUGAAAUGCGUAGACAUCGUGUGGAACGCCGAAGGUGAAAACAGCUCGCUGGGGUUGUGCUGACGCUGAGACACGAAAGCCAGGGGAGCGAACGGG